UACAGAGGUAUCAAGCGUUGUUCGGAUUCAUUGGGCGUAAAGGGUGCGUAGGCGGCGCGGUAAGUCGGGUGUGAAAUCUCGGAGCUUAACUCCGAAACUGCAUUCGAUACUGCCGUGCUUGAGGACUGGAGAGGAGACUGGAAUUUACGGUGUAGCGGUGAAAUGCGUAGAUAUCGUAAGGAAGACCAGUGGCGAAGGCGGGUCUCUGGACAGUUCCUGACGCUGAGGCACGAAGGUCAGGGGAGCAAACGGG
rnacentral:rRNA from 1 species